rnacentral:rRNA from 1 species
CCUACGGGGGGCAGCAGUGGGAAGAGUGGACAAGGGGGGAAACCCGGAGCCAGCGACGACGCGUGAGUGAAGAAGGAUUUCGGUACGUAAAGCUCUAUCAGCAGGAAAGAAAAGGACGGUACCUGACGAAGAAGCCCCGGCUAACUACGAGCCAGCAGCCGCGGGAAUACGUAGGGGGCAAGCGUUAUCCGGAUUUACUGGGUGUAAAGGGAGCGUAGACGGCAGCGCAAGGCUGGAGGGAAAUGCCGGGGCCCAACCCCGGAACUGCUCUGGAAACUGUGAAGCUGGAGUGCAGGAGAGGUAAGCGUAAUUCCUGGUGUAGCGGUGAAAUGCGUAGAUAUCAGGAGGAACCCCGGCGGCGAAGGCGGCUUACUGGACUGUAACUGACGUUGCGGCUCGAAGGCGUGGGGAGCAAACAGGAUUAGAUACCCGGGUAGUC